UUAAUUUACAUUAUUUUAUUGUUUUAUAUACAAAAAGAUAAUGAUGCGAUAAUCCUUUUUUUUCACUGUUUUUUUCAAUAGUAAUUAGUUGUGUGUGUGUAUGUGCCUCCUGUGGACUAGCACUACAUUCGUUCAUACAAUGGUCCUGGCACUGUGGAGAGAGAGAGAGAUAGGAAGAGAGAGAGACCAAGGGAGGAACGCACAUACACACAUCAAGAGUACAGUUCCCUCAUUGUAUUCAAAACUAGACUACCUCGUCUCUAUAGCCUGGUCGUCUUUUUUGUUUUUCAAUUUGAACCACUACAAAAGAUAAUCCAAAAGCAUAAGAAACAUAACAAAGGCAUGUUCAGUCAUUGUUGCAAAUUAUAUGGAUAUGUUCGAAGGAUCUUUGCUGGUAAAAAAACAAUAUGAAUCUUGUCUAACCGUUAUAACAAGACUAGGUUUCUACUUCUCCCUCAAGGAGGUGGUGGGGGAAAUGGUGUUGUCUCUUAAAUGCAUGUCGCAAAAGUUUUUUUUGGAGAAAAAAAAUCCAUCUGUUCAUAUAUAUAUUAUAUAUAUGCAUAUAUCUACAGAAAACCGAAGCUCCAUACGUACACUUGAGAUUUAUUUUUUAAACCUGAACCAAAACCAGUUUUCACCAUGUCAAGGUUGUUAGUCAUAAAGCAUUUUUGCCUUCUUUCUUUUUUUAAAUUCUUUAUAGCAUGUUGAGAAUCAGUAGUAUAAGAAUUUCUCGGCCGUCUACAGCUCAGCUAAAACAGGGAAACGAGAUACAAGAUUAACAUUUCACAAAUUCAUCCCCAUUGUGAUGGAGAAGGACUGAGUUCUGCAAAGACAGCAAUAUCCUGAUUUGGCAUUUCACCUUUAAAAACCUUUUUUCUUAUUUCUAAUUACAAUCUCAUUCCUUCCAUGAUGUGGAUUCUGAAUACAGUUUAUGCAAUAAAUACAACAAAUAUAACCUAUUGAAAAUGUUUCCAUUUCUGUGUCUAUCACAGAUCCCUUCCGUUGCUUUUUCGAAAACAAACCGUGCCUUGCUUUUUUUUGAUUAACAUGUAAAGUUUGGGAAUGUCAUUCAAAUCAGGACUCAGCCAGCCUUGCACACCCCAAUCCACCAAGGUGCAGAGACAGAUGAGUCAAAUCCGACUGCUUUUAUGUCGUUGACCUCUCUCUCUCCUCCCCUGAGGAAACAGCACUUUAUUAAUAAGAACGAUUGACAAAUAGCUGGGAGACCCCUUUGUUCAUCCAACCCCUUGACAAAUACCAAGGAAACCCAUCAGUUUGCAUUGGUGGUCGAAGACUGGGAUAUUCGGAAAUGUCGAAAAAUAUAUUUGUGUGUGCAUUGCGUUUAUACCGUUUUUAUGUUGACUUAUAAUGUCCGGCAUUACUCUUUAGUGGGAUUCUCCUUCGAUUUAUGAUUCAGAAAAGGAAACUAAGAAAUACAGCCAGACAAAAAGCCUAGCUUAAAAUGCUUAAAUAAACUGACAAUAAUGACUAUAUGGUCACAAAUUACAGGAGUUAUGUAAUGUAUGUAUUAUGGAAGCUUUUGGUAUGAUAUGGUAACAGAGGAGAUUAAUAUCCACACUGAAUGACUCCCCUCUCCAUACAGGUAUAAUUUGUAUAAACUUUAAGUCCUUUGAAUCCAAGUCCUCCAAUUUAUCCAGAGAAAAUCCAAGCCGAGCAGGUUGGGGUUCACAUUGUCAUUGUCAAGGGGUGCACUUUGGGAAUCAAACCUAAGAUCAGUUAUUCAUCCACAUGGCUGAGCAAAUUAAAAUCGUAGCAUAUCUUCCCCAUGCCUCUUAAAAUAAAAUGGGCUUGACUAGAAACAUAAUUUACAUUGAAAUUCUCAUAAUUACAGCAUUAUUUCUGACAUCGACCAUCAUCCCAGUGUCGUGGAUUGUUACAGGAAAAAACAACAACCAUGGACUUUUCACUGACGUUUCACUUGUUAAAAAAUCUACAGUUCAGCUGUAGAUUUAGUUCACUCGGUAGAGGCCAUUUUGCACAGGAUGAGGUUACUGUUGGUUUUUGAUAUAAUUCACAGGUCUGUUAAAUAUUUGAAAUAUGUUGCUACUGCAUCACUUGCCGGUAGAAUGGAAGCAUAACUUGCCAGGCUAACUCAACCGAGGCUAACUCAGCUGAGCGUCCCAUCCAUUGUUUGACCCGACAGGGCAAUUGAAUAUCUCACCCCACGCCAGUUUAGGCUUGGAAGCAUGUUUGCCCACACGUUGAUAAGGUUUCAGAGGCUACAUUUAGUCGUAGAUUGCAGAAGGACAUCACAUCCAACAACUAAAUAAAUAAGAACAGCUGUGUUUUCAAGAGUCUUUUCAAUCUAUUCAUAAGCUGUUGUUAGGUAUAUAUAUAUUUAUCUCAUACCAACAACUUAAAAGACCCAAUGGAAUUGAAAUUGUGUUUAUUUCCAAAUAUUUUAAACGUUAUCAAGUGCUAUAGUACCAUUUCCUGUCCGCUAUGGUGCUCUUGAGUACAACUUUUCUGCCCGUCAAGCUGUAAAUUAGGUAAUAGGUUUCUGAAACACCUACCAUCCAACUCAUUAAGUGAGUGUGCUUGUUGAUGGCAUCUGUGUAUGUCUCACUGUUCACUAACUCACUGUUGUUCUACAUCAAGAGAUGAAUACUGGCUGGGUUCUGUUAAUAUGUAUCAUAAAAGUACACAUUCAGGUCAAAUAAAUUAAUUCUGAUUCAGGAUUAUCUUUCUUACUCUGAAUCCUAUUGACCGUGAGUCUGAGAGAAGGAUGUUUUCGGACAAUUUUGUUAAAUCGCAACCAAAUGCAUAUUCACAUUAUUGAGUAUUUGAAGGAUUUUGUUUUCAUCACUCAAUUGUAAAUUGGGACGAUUAACAAAUUAAACCACUAAAUACAGGCAAAUCAUUGAACAACUUUUUUUCUCAUUUACUGAUAAUCAGGGAAGAAGAAGAAGAUGCAGAAGAAGAAGAAGUGUAAAGGGAGUUGAGUGAAAAGAAAAGAGAGAUGAAGAGAGGCACCAACAAAGACAACCAAAGACCCAGAUCAGCAGAUAAAUAUGUUGCGAGAUACUGUCAUGCUGCCAUACUGUGGUGGACAUUAAAGCAGUAAUACUUAUGGAGUCACUUAGGGAAUUAACAAACCUAUAAUGCCAUUUCCAAAUGCUUCUGUCCAGUAGGGGUUUGAAUACAUUGAAGGAUUUGCAAAAUGUUGGCAGAAUUGGUUUUGUUAGUGAAAAAACCUUUUUCUGAUUGAAUCCUUUUGGUAGCCAAAUAUAUAAAGUAUGCUUUCUAUCCAGAUAUCUAGAAGUUAUGUAUGUUACAUACAUAUAUUCAUCACAACCUUAUGUAUGGCUGAUGUUAUGGGGUACCACCUGUGUUUACUUUCCCAUCCAUCUUUCCUUUUUGUUUCUGCUUUGAGACAAGGAACAGACCCCACAGAUAUGAAGAAUGGAAGAUGAAAAUGGAAGAAAACAUGAGAGAAAAGCAAGAAAGAUAUUGCAGAGACAGUGAAGUUCCCCUUCCGCCUCCCUUGUGGCAUAGUAACACCGCCGUGGGUAUUCUUAUGAUCUCAACAGCACUCCCAGCAUGGCAGUCAACACAACCAUAUUCUAUGGCACUGUACCAUUUCAAUACAAAAAUAGUGGUUUCAAAAUGCUGGUUAGCGAAUUUAUAUUAAUUUAAGUUGAACUCGACAUGUAGAAGGAAUGCAUCAACUGACUAAUAUUAGUUAAAGAUAUGGCACAGUUUAUAUCAUGUCAAGGAAAAAUCUAGUUGCUUGGUUUUCAAUGGAUAAUUGUAUUAUAAUGUGUUAUGUCUUCAUCUGAUCACUUUUGACUGUGAUCCCAGACACAGAUUAUCAAGGUAAGUCUUAUAUAAAAUAUGAGGGUUACAAUUAUUUCCCUGAACUUAUGUCGUCUUCUUUAGAAAAUCUUUAAUAUUUUCAAAGACAGCCUGGUUUCGAAAAGGAAAUAAUUACACUUACAACAUCAAAUGAGAAGUGUAUAAUUCAAUUCUUUGUAUAGAAUUUACAAUCGCUAUUCUCAUUUCCUUUCCUUCUCCUGCCUCCAUUCAGGCCUAUCGUACAAGCAGAGACUGUGGGCUGAACACAAUGCUGUGAGGGGUCCACGCAGGAGAACAAGGAGAUUCCAAGGUCCCACUGUAUAGAAAAGAAAGAGAAGAAGGAGGGAGGGAGUGGCAAGUAGAGGCAAAACCAGCAGAUUGUGAUGAAGGAAGAAGAGGGAUUCUGGAAAGGCGAGGAAGAAGAGGGGAGGAAGCAAGAAUAGCUUUGACUACAGCAAAGAGAAUAGAAGAGAGCAGCUAGUCUAGUCGAGGGAACAAUGUCUAGAAAGAGGAUCAACAAUUCGGUUCAACGGUAAAAUACUAUUUACAAGGGCCAUGGUUCCAGUAUGCUCUAUGCAACAGCACCACGCUGAGACAAACAGCAUUAACUACAAGGGAUAAAAAAAUAAACCAAUAGGUCCACGGCCCACUUGAGACUGCAGCGUUUCUGUAUUUACCAUCCCUUAAAGUUACCACCUUUAUAAUAAUUUUUUUUCAGACUUAGUGGGGAAACAUUGACCGGGUAGCACAUCCUUCAAUAAAACCUAUUGGAAACAUAAUGUAUACCCUAAUUAUAUACUGUAAAAUCUACAAAAUAAAAAAAAGUACAAUAAAAUAUGUUUACUACAAGUCGUCAACACAACUAAUAAAAUAUAGAAACAGGACUUACAAGACGUAGAAAAAGUCAUCUGAGGUAUAUCUGUGUGUUUUGUUUGAGGUGAUUUGUGGUUGAUGAGCAGUAAUCGUUCUGACUUUUUCUUGUUUUUCCUAUAUUUUUUCCGGUCAUGUAUUAUUAUGAUUAUUAUAAUUAUAAUUAUUAUAAUUAUUAUUAUCAAUUUUUUUUUUCUUUCACGCAUGCAAUCUCUUCACUAGCUUUAGCGCCUUAUUGUCCCUGACAAUUUUGAAUAUUUUGACACGUGUGGCUCUGCAACGCACCCCUUCCCCGCUCUCUGCUAACCUCACAGAGAGGGGGGAAGAGAGACUAAGAGAGCGAGAGAGAGAGAGAGAGAGAGAGAGAGAGAGAGAGAGAGAGA
ensembl:lncRNA